UUCAAUUUUUGACUCUUUGUCUUAUUAAAAAAAUUUUACGAUUGAUAUUUUUGUUUUUAUUAGAUGAUAAAUUAUGAAUAGUACUUUAUGUACGACUAAUUUUUUCUAAUUUACUAAAAUUUUUUCAAAUAAGACGGAUAAUCAAACGUUGGAUACGGAAACCGAAG
rnacentral:pre_miRNA from 1 species